UAGCACAGAGAGCUUGCUCUCGGGUGACGAGCGGCGGACGGGUGAGUAAUGUCUGGGAAACUGCCUGAUGGAGGGGGAUAACUACUGGAAACGGUAGCUAAUACCGCAUAAUGUCGCAAGACCAAAGUGGGGGACCUUCGGGCCUCAUGCCAUCAGAUGUGCCCAGAUGGGAUUAGCUAGUAGGUGGGGUAACGGCUCACCUAGGCGACGAUCCCUAGCUGGUCUGAGAGGAUGACCAGCCACACUGGAACUGAGACACGGUCCAGACUCCUACGGGAGGCAGCAGUGGGGAAUAUUGCACAAUGGGCGCAAGCCUGAUGCAGCCAUGCCGCGUGUGUGAAGAAGGCCUUCGGGUUGUAAAGCACUUUCAGCGGGGAGGAAGGCGGUGAGGUUAAUAACCUUGUCGAUUGACGUUACCCGCAGAAGAAGCACCGGCUAACUCCGUGCCAGCAGCCGCGGUAAUACGGAGGGUGCAAGCGUUAAUCGGAAUUACUGGGCGUAAAGCGCACGCAGGCGGUCUGUCAAGUCGGAUGUGAAAUCCCCGGGCUCAACCUGGGAACUGCAUUCGAAACUGGCAGGCUAGAGUCUUGUAGA
rnacentral:rRNA from 1 species